rnacentral:rRNA from 1 species
AGCGAACGCUGGCGGCGUGCUUAACACAUGCAAGUCGGACGAGAACGGAAUAUAGCUUGCUAUAUUUGUCAGCUAAGUGGCGCACGGGUGAGUAAUGUAUAGAUAACCUGCCCUUAAGAAAGGAAUAACAGUUGGAAACGACUGCUAAUGCCCUAUAUGCCUUUAAUACAUAAGUAUGCAAGGGAAACGCUUUAGUGCUUAAGGAUGGGUCUGUAUGGUAUUAGCUUGUUGGUGAGGUAAUGGCUCACCAAGGCUAUGACGCCUAACUGGUUUGAGGGGAUGAUCAGUCACACUGGAACUGAGACACGGUCCAGACUCCUACGGGAGGCAGCAGUGGGGAAUAUUGCACAAUGGACGAAAGUCUGAUGCAGCAACGCCGCGUGGAGGAUGACACAUUUCGGUGCGUAAACUCCUUUUAUAUAGGAAGAUAAUGACGGUACUAUAUGAAUAAGCACCGGCUAACUCCGUGCCAGCCGCCGCGGUAA